GGCUAUGUUAGCCGGGCGACGGUUGUCCCGGUUUAAGCAUGUAGGCGGAGGUUCCAGGUAAAUCCGGUACCUUUUAACGCUGAGGUGUGAUGACGAGGCACUAUGGUGCUGAAGUAACAAAUGCCCUGCUUCCAGGAAAAGCCUCUAAGCAUCAGGUAACAUUAAAUCGUACCCCAAACCGACACAGGUGGUCAGGUAGAGAAUACC
rnacentral:rRNA from 1 species